GCCCUCGUAGCUCAGUGGUUAGAGCGGCCCGCUCAUAACGGGUUGGUCGGAGGUUCAAUUCCUCCCGGGGGCA
rnacentral:tRNA from 1 species